rnacentral:tRNA from 1 species
UCUACCAAAGGAUAGUAGUAUUCCCC